rnacentral:rRNA from 1 species
CGACAAGCGGUGGAGCAUGUGGUUAAUUCGAUGAUACGCGAAGAACCUUACCGGGUUUGACAUGCAGGUGAUCGCCGUUGAAAGACGGUUUCCUCUUCGGGGGCACCUGCACAGGUGCUGCAUGGCUGUCGUCAGCUCGUGUCGUGAGAUGUUGGGUUAAGUCCCGCAACGAGCGCAACCCUUAUCCCCAGUUGCCAUCAGGUAAAGCUGGGAACUCUGGGGAGACUGCCGGUGAUAACCGGAGGAAGCGGGGAUGACGUCAAGUCCUCAUGGCCCUUACAUCCCGGGCUACACACGUGCUACAAUGGCAGGUACAGAGGGCAGCGACACAGCGAUGUGAAGCGAAUCCCGAAAAGCCGGUCUCAGUCCGGAUUGGAGUCUGCAACUCGACUCCAUGAAGUUGGAAUCGCUAGUAAUCGCGGAUCAGCACGCCGCGGUGAAUACGUUCCCGGGCCUU